AUUCUUACCUGGCGUAGAGGGAUACCGUGGUCAUGCAGGCGGUUCCCCCAGGGCGAGGCUGCUCCAUUGCACUGCGGACUGGUUGACCCUUGGGACAAUUUUUACUUUUAUAAAAAAUCAUAAUAAAAAAUGUAUACUCGAAUAAUUUUCUU
rnacentral:snRNA from 9 species